AACGCUGACAGGGCCGUUGCCGA
rnacentral:misc_RNA from 1 species